GGCAGCAGCAUCAGCUGGAGCUGGAGGCAGCCCACGUGCCUGGGGCUGUGCUGCCGGAGCUGGUGGAGGCAGAGCUGGAGAAGGCUGAGCAGGCGAGGAGACGUGGGCUUGUCUUCUGGAUGAGAACGAUCUGCUUCAUCUUUGUCAGCCUCCAGCUGCUGCUUUUUGCCGUGCUGGGCUGUGCAGUGCUGUACGCCCAGCACUAUGACCAGGAGCUUUUCUAUCGGCUCCUGCUGCGAGUGCUGCCCCGAGCAAUGUACGCCUCCCUGGCGUACUUUGCGAGCAGGAGCCUGCGUGUGGUCUGUGAUGGGCUGCUGCCCAUCUGACCGCCCCAUCUCAGUCCCC
rnacentral:lncRNA from 1 species